rnacentral:rRNA from 1 species
GAUGAACGCUGGCGGCGUGCUUAACACAUGCAAGUCGAACGAUGAAGCCCAGCUUGCUGGGUGGAUUAGUGGCGAACGGGUGAGUAACACGUGAGUAACCUGCCCUUAACUCUGGGAUAAGCCUGGGAAACUGGGUCUAAUACCGGAUAGGAGCGUCCACCGCAUGGUGGGUGUUGGAAAGAUUUAUCGGUUUUGGAUGGACUCGCGGCCUAUCAGCUUGUUGGUGAGGUAAUGGCUCACCAAGGCGACGACGGGUAGCCGGCCUGAGAGGGUGACCGGCCACACUGGGACUGAGACACGGCCCAGACUCCUACGGGAGGCAGCAGUGGGGAAUAUUGCACAAUGGGCGCAAGCCUGAUGCAGCGACGCCGCGUGAGGGAUGACGGCCUUCGGGUGGUAAACCUCUUUCAGUAGGGAAGAAGCGAAAGUGACGGUACCUGCAGAAGAAGCACCGGCUAACUACGU